AUGGCGACGCAGCAGAUCGCCCUCCUUCUCUUACUCCUCGCCGCCGCCCAUGGCCUCUCCGUGGCCGUCAGCCCUACACCCAUCAUCAACACCACAUGCGCUGCGCUCGCCCACAGCCCCAAUGUCACAGUGCACGUCGACUACGAAUUCUGCGUCCGCGCGCUUUCAGUCGACCCGGCGUCCUCGUCUGCCACGGACGCCCGCGGGCUAGCGGCGGCCGCGGCAAGCCUUACAGUCGCCAACCUAACGUCCACGGAGCACAUCAUCGCGGACCUCGUCCAUAAUCUGGGCCGUUGUCUUACCGACUACAGAGAGAUUAACGGCAUGGUGCGGCACGCGCUCGACGACAUCCGAGGCGGGCGCGGCGCCGACGCUUCCGAGAAGCUUUUGCAAGUGGCAAAGGCAAACGCUCCUGCUUGGUGCGACCUCAUCUUGAUAGAGGGAGACGCCAAGAGGAACCCCAUAGAUCAGGAGAACCAUAACGCUGACUUCUUGUCCGUCAUUGCCUCCGGAAUUGCCGAGCUGAUGCUGCAUUCUCAUGGAUGA
rnacentral:rRNA from 1 species